rnacentral:rRNA from 1 species
AUGCAAGUCGAGCGGUAACAGAAAGUAGCUUGCUACUUUGCUGACGAGCGGCGGACGGGUGAGUAAUGCUUGGGAACAUGCCUUGAGGUGGGGGACAACAGUUGGAAACGACUGCUAAUACCGCAUAAUGUCUACGGACCAAAGGGGGCUUCGGCUCUCGCCUUUAGAUUGGCCCAAGUGGGAUUAGCUAGUUGGUGAGGUAAUGGCUCACCAAGGCGACGAUCCCUAGCUGGUUUGAGAGGAUGAUCAGCCACACUGGGACUGAGACACGGCCCAGACUCCUACGGGAGGCAGCAGUGGGGAAUAUUGCACAAUGGGCGCAAGCCUGAUGCAGCCAUGCCGCGUGUGUGAAGAAGGCCUUCGGGUUGUAAAGCACUUUCAGUCAGGAGGAAAGGUUAGUAGUUAAUACCUGCUAGCUGUGACGUUACUGACAGAAGAAGCACCGGCUAACUCCGUGCCAGCAGCCGCGGUAAUACGGAGGGUGCGAGCGUUAAUCGGAAUUACUGGGCGUAAAGCGUACGCAGGCGGUUUGUUAAGCGAGAUGUGAAAGCCCCGGGCUCAACCUGGGAACUGCAUUUCGAACUGGCAAACUAGAGUGUGAUAGAGGGUGGUAGAAUUUCAGGUGUAGCGGUGAAAUGCGUAGAGAUCUGAAGGAAUACCGAUGGCGAAGGCAGCCACCUGGGUCAACACUGACGCUCAUGUACGAAAGCGUGGGGAGCAAACGGGAUUAGAUACCCCGGUAGUCCACGCCGUAAACGAUGUCUACUAGAAGCUCGGAGCCUCGGUUCUGUUUUUCAAAGCUAACGCAUUAAGUAGACCGCCUGGGGAGUACGGCCGCAAGGUUAAAACUCAAAUGAAUUGACGGGGGCCCGCACAAGCGGUGGAGCAUGUGGUUUAAUUCGAUGCACGCGAAGAACCUUACCUACACUUGACAUACAGAGAACUUACCAGAGAUGGUUUGGUGCCUUCGGGAACUCUGAUACAGUGCUGCAUGGCUGUCGUCAGCUCGUGUGUGAGAUGUUGGUUAGUCCGCACCGAGCGCAACCCUAUCCUACUUGCUAGCAGGUAUGGCGUGAGACCUCUAAGAGACUGCCGGGUGAUAACCG